UACGGAGGGGGCUAGCGUUGUUCGGAAUUACUGGGCGUAAAGGGCGCGCAGGCGGCUGCUCAAGUCAGGCGUGAAAGGCCUGGGCUCAACCCGGGAAUUGCGCUUGAGACUGGGCUGGCUUGAGUGCGGGAGAGGAUGGUGGAAUUCCCAGUGUAGAGGUGAAAUUCGUAGAUAUUCGCAAGAACACCGGUGGCGAAGGCGGCCCACUGGUCCGGUACUGACGCUGAGGUGCGAAAGCGUGGGGAGCAAACAGG
rnacentral:rRNA from 1 species